rnacentral:rRNA from 1 species
AUACGGAGGGUGCAAGCGUUAUUCGGAAUCACUGGGCGUAAAGGACGCGUAGGCGGGUUGGCAAGUCAGAUGUGAAAUCCUACAGCUUAACUGUAGAACUGCAUUUGAAACUGCUAACCUAGAGUAUGGGAGGGGGAGAUGGAAUUAGUGGUGUAGGGGUAAAAUACGUAGAUAUCACUAGGAAUACCGAAAGCGAAGGCGAUCUCCUGGAACAUAACUGACGCUAAGGCGUGAAAGCGUGGGGAGCAAACAGGAUUAGAAACCCUAGUAGUCC